GGACAGAUGGCAGAGUGGUCGAAUGCGCACGCUUGGAAAGCGUGUUUACCCUAAUCCGGUAACGAGGGUUCGAAUCCCUCUCUGUCCGCCA
rnacentral:tRNA from 1 species